AACGAACGCUGGCGGCAGGCCUAACACAUGCAAGUCGAACGCUCCAGCAAUGGAGAGUGGCAGACGGGUGAGUAACGCGUGGGAACCUUCCCUAUGGUUCGGAAUAGCUCAGGGAAACUUGAGGUAAUACCGGAUAAGCCCUUCGGGGAAAGGAUUUAUUCGCCAUUGGAUGGGCCCGCCGUAGGAUUAGCUAGUUGGUUGAGGUAACGGCUCACCAAGGCGACGAUCCUUAGCUGGUCUGAGAGGAUGAUCAGCCACACUGGGACUGAGACACGGCCCAGACUCCUACGGGAGGCAGCAGUGGGGAAUAUUGGACAAUGGGCGCAAGCCUGAUCCAGCCAUGCCGCGUGAGUGACGAAGGCCUUA
rnacentral:rRNA from 1 species